GACGAACGCUGGCGGCGUGCUUAACACAUGCAAGUCGAACGGAAAGGCCCUGCUUUUGUGGGGUGCUCGAGUGGCGAACGGGUGAGUAACACGUGAGUAACCUGCCCUUGACUUUGGGAUAACUUCAGGAAACUGGGGCUAAUACCGGAUAGGAUCUCCUGCUCCAUGGUGUGGGUUGGAAAGUUUCGGCGGUUGGGGAUGGACUCGCGGCUUAUCAGCUUGUUUGUGAGGUAGUGGCUUACCAAGGCUUUGACGGGUAGCCGGCCUGAGAGGGUGACCGGCCACAUGGGGACUGAGAGACGGACCAGAAUCCUACGGGAGGCAGCAGUGGGGAAUAUUGCACAAUGGGCGGAAGCCUGAUGCAGAAACGCCGCGUGCGGGAUGACGGCCUUCGGGUUGUAAACCGCUUUCGCCUGUGACGAAGCGUGAGUGACGGUAAUGGGUAAAGAAGCACCGGCUAACUACGUG
rnacentral:rRNA from 1 species